AUAAACGCUGGCGGCGCACAUAAGACAUGCAAGUCGAACGGAAGUCGUUAUACAAGGAGAGAAGAUUUAUCGAAUUGAAUUAUAUAACAAUGGCUUUAGUGGCGGACUGGUGAGUAACGCGUAAGAAAUCUACCUAUUAGAGGGGAACAACAAUGAGAAAUCAUUGCUAAUACCGCAUAUGCCAUAAACAUCGCAUGAUGAAAGUGGGAAAGGAGCAAUCCGCUGAUAGAUGAUCUUGCGUCUGAUUAGUUAGUUGGUGGGGUAAUGGCCUACCAAGACGACGAUCAGUAGCCGGACUGAGAGGUUGAACGGCCACAUUGGGACUGAGAUACGGCCCAGACUCCUACGGGAGGCAGCAGUCGGGAAUAUUGCGCAAUGGAGGAAACUCUGACGCAGUGACGCCGCGUGCAGGAAGAAGGUUUUCGGAUUGUAAACUGCUUUAGACAGGGAAGAGAAAGGACAGUACCUGUAGAAUAAGCUCCGGCUAACUACGUGCCAGCAGCCGCGGUAAUACGUAGGGAGCGAGCGUUAUCCGGAUUUAUUGGGUGUAAAGGGUGCGUAGACGGGAAUACAAGUUAGUUGUGAAAUACCUCGGCUUAACUGAGGAACUGCAACUAAAACUAUAUUUCUUGAGUGCAGGAGAGGUAAGUGGAAUUCCUAGUGUAGCGGUGAAAUGCGUAGAUAUUAGGAGGAACACCAGUGGCGAAGGCGACUUACUGGACUGAAACUGACGUUGAGGCACGAAAGUGUGGGGAGCAAACAGGAUUAGAUACCCUGGUAGUCCACGCCGUAAACGAUGUCGACUUGGAGGUUGUGCCCUUGAGGCGUGGCUUCCGGAGCUAACGCGUUAAGUCGACCGCCUGGGGAGUACGGCCGCAAGGUUGAAACUCAAAGGAAUUGACGGGGGCCCGCACAAGCAGUGGAGUAUGUGGUUUAAUUCGAAGCAACGCGAAGAACCUUACCAGGGCUUGACAUAUAGAUGAAUAUAUAAGAGAUUAUAUAGCUUUUCGGAGCAUCUAUACAGGUGGUGCAUGGUUGUCGUCAGCUCGUGUCGUGAGAUGUUGGGUUAAGUCCCGCAACGAGCGCAACCCCUGUUUCUAGUUGCCAGCAUGUAAAGAUGGGAACUCUAGAAAGACUGCCGUAGAUAAUACGGAGGAAGGUGGGGAUGACGUCAAAUCAUCAUGCCCUUUAUGUCCUGGGCUACACACGUACUACAAUGGCUGUAACAGAGGGAAGCGAACCAGUGAUGGUAAGCGAAACCCGAAAAGCAGUCACAGUUCGGAUUGAAGGCUGAAACUCGCCUUCAUGAAGCCGGAAUUGCUAGUAAUGGCAGGUCAGCAUACUGCCGUGAAUACGUUCCCGGGCCUUGUACACACCGCCCGUCACACCAUGAGAGUUGGGGAUACCCGAAGCCUGUGAGCCAACAGUUAAAUGGGGCAGCAGUCGAAGGUAGAAUCAAUGAUUGGGGUG
rnacentral:rRNA from 1 species